CCUACGGGAGGCUGCAGUGGGGAAUAUUGGACAAUGGGGGCAACCCUGAUCCAGCCAUGCCGCGUGUGUGAAGAAGGCCCUCGGGUUGUAAAGCACUUUCAGGGAGGAAGAACGCCUGGUGGUUAAUACCCAUCAGGAAAGACAUCACUCACAGAAGAAGCACCGGCUAACUCCGUGCCAGCAGCCGCGGUAAUACGGAGGGUGCGAGCGUUAAUCGGAAUUACUGGGCGUAAAGCGCGCGUAGGUGGCUUGAUAAGCCGGUUGUGAAAGCCCCGGGCUCAACCUGGGAACGGCAUCCGGAACUGUCAAGCUAGAGUGCAGGAGAGGAAGGUAGAAUUCCAGGUGUAGCGGUGAAAUGCGUAGAGAUCGGGAGGAAUACCAGUGGCGAAGGCGGCCUUCUGGACUGACACUGACACUGAGGUGCGAAAGCGUGGGUAGCAAACAGGAUUAGAUACCCCAGUAGUC
rnacentral:rRNA from 1 species